ensembl:lincRNA
GCCAGGAUGAUUUUGCUAUCUGUGGCAACUCUAAGGGAACCCUGGUUCCCUAAGCUUUUGCUGGAUAUCAGAAUUCCAAUCCCUCUCCACUGUGCUUUUUUUUUUCAUUGGCAGAACUUUAAAUGAUUUUAUAAAACUGCAAAUGUACAAGGUAAUUGAGUCUUCUGUUUUAUUACCCUGAGCUGCCUGGACCUUGCCCGGCCUCCUCCUCACUCACCGAGCCGCCGGAAUAAAGUUGGAAGUGUUUGUGCUGGUAAUAUAUAGGACUUAAUUAACCUGGCCUUUUAUAGCAUUUCCAAUGGAGGGUUGGAACGAACUUCGAGGCAGCCUGAGAAAGGGAAAGGGGGGCCUAGGGUGAGAGCGUGUAUGUACAUACAACACUUGAUGUUGGUUUUUUUCUUCUGUUCUUUUCUCCAGUACUUUAAUCAGCAUUUAAUGACCCAGUCAAAAAUUCAUCGUUUGGACCCAAGCACUGGUGGGAAAGGCAGUAGGGGAGGCCUGCCUUCCUCUCUCCCUCCCGAGUCCUACAGCAGGCCAUGGAGUGGAAAAAGUGAUUCAGCUCCGGUCCACCCUGGGUGCAGCAGUCCUUCUGCCAAGAUGCCUUCAUGUCAUACAGCUAUUAUUUUCGGGAGGAUUCCAAGUGAGGGCAGUCAGGGUGGGCUUGGUCCAUUCUCUAGACUUUGGAAGAUAAUGUUCCAUAGAGGCCUGUUCUGAAGCUUUACCAGGUCAAACCGGAGAAGAACCCAACAACGUAACUCAUCCCAGCCUAACUAUCCUUCAACGGCAAUCAACCUACAGCAUCCAAGCACAGAGAAAUCAAAUCCAUAGAGAAUCUUCAAAUUAGGCUCAGAAUCCGUUUGGGACACUGGAUUUACUGUUAUCAAGAUCUUAGUUGUGCUCAUCCAUGAUCUGACAUACCUUAGAGUGAGAAGAUACUCUUCCUAGGCUCAGACUAGUUGAAGGUAGAGAGAGAGAGAGAGAGAGAGAGAGACCCUUGGGUGUGGGGAGACCUCCCCUGGGAUAAUACACACACAAAACCAAGAGCUGCUCACUGUGGUGCAGCAGACAGCAGGGGCCUGAAGCCAGAGGCUCUCUCUGUGUCCUUGAAUACAACGCUUUACUCCUCUGACCCCUGUUACCGUGAUUUGGAGAGGCAGACAAUAUAGUAUGGGCUCUGCAGGCAGGGAGGUCCAGUUAUAAUCCCAGCUCUUACUAAGUUGGGUAAGACUCACUCUGAGACUUAGUUUCUUCUAUCAUCUCUCAAUAGAAUCAUAAAGGUACUUUCUUGUUAGUGUUGUUUUAAAAUUCAGUAAAAUAACGAAGGCUUAGCACAGGGUCUGAUGUAAAUUUUCAAUGAAUUAUUGUUGUCAGUUAUUGUUCUAGAAAACAAGAGGGCAUAUUAGAUCAAAAGUACUGCCAAGCAUUGAAAUGCCAAUUCCAGAUCCAGUUUCAGUCCUCUGAGAACUGAUAUCAUUGUUUUCGAGCCAUUCAGAAACCAGUGUGAAUUGAACACCUAGUAUGAGCUCUCUGGGGGAAGAGCCAAGUCCUACAUUUUCG